CUAAAUUAUUAAUUAGGCUAGGAGAUUUUCUUUUUCUAAAAGAUUAAGGAAGUUUAUCUAUGCCUGGCUAUUGUGUAUAUGAGCCAACACCCUGUGCUUGAUGUUGUAGAUCAAAUUACUCAUUAUCCAUUAAAAAAUAAGUAAUUUUUAUUCUCUGGGAAAAGAGGAAAGCAUAUUCAAUGAAAGUUUAUUAUAAUGAACCAUCAUGUUACAAUGGAUUUAAUAGUUCAAAUUAGGCAUACUGAUGUAUCAUUGUCACACAAUACUAAAAUUUUCCAAUUUUCAUUUUUCAAGGUUGGUAACUAUGUUGUGCAUUUAUUGCUGCAUUAGCUUCUAGGAUAUGAAGAUUUUCUUCCUAUCUUCUUCACAUCAAAUAGUGCCAGUAAUUAAGCCUUUAGAUGAAAAAGAUUGUUUUCAAAUGGAUGAAAUUGACACUAAUCUGGAAAGCACAAGUAACAUACAGCAUGAUGAUAAAAAUUUACCAGAUCUUGAACCACCUCAGCUGUCAGAUGAAGAAAUAGUAAUAGAAGAAUAUGACUUUUGAAGAAAAAAAUUACUUUUAAAAAUUUUAAUGUGAAAAUAUUUUCUACUUUAAAUUAUUUUAUAACUCAUGUAAUUUUUUGGAGAUAAUUAAAAUAUUUAAAUUUCUAAUCUAGUGCAAAACAAAUUUGUUUUUGAAAUGCAGAAACAAAAAUUUUCAGUUUCAUGUUUUUAUGAGUUUUAAAAGACAUUUGUUUUCCUACAGCAAUGAAUUAAUAAAAAAUAUUCCUUCUUCUUCUAUUUUAAGAAACUAACAGGUAAUUAGGUUGGAGGAAUUGUUUCUUCAUAUACAACCUUUUUCUCGGCUUCCCCUUUAUUGAAUGUAAAUCUUAUAAAUAUCAGAUUCUUUUAUGAGCUCAAUGUAUUCAUUCUUUUAAAUUCUGAAAAUUUAAUUCCCAAUUAUUAUGCUUCAAUAAUUUCAAGCAUUCUUUCUGCAAUUAUGAAUUUAUUUUUAAAAUAUCCAGUGUUAUUCUUGCUGAUUAAAGAGAGUUUCCUAAGCCUCAUUAUCCUCUGGCACUGCACAUAACUGUUUGCUAAGUAGUCUGAGUCAUACUGUCUAUUAAUGUAACAGUUUGACCAUGAAAUAGCAGGGCAAGCCUUAUAUUGAUUUGUAGCCAAUGAAACAGCCUGUCAGAUAAUGUUGGGAAAAAAAUUUUGUCUUUCAUUGGUAUCUUGAGCUUGAGUGUAAAAAAACACAUGGUGGCCUUAAAUGAUUAAGUAUUUCAAGGCUUUUCAUACUAAAACUAAAUUUCUAUAAGAUUUGUAUGUUAUCAUAUCAUAUGGCAUUAUUCCUUCAGGAAUUAUAUGUGUAAAAUAGUAUUUCUGAUUUAGAAAAAAUAGUACUUUUAGUAUUUUAAGCUCAGUUAUGAAUUUUUGUAUUCAGAAUAAUCGUUUUGUUUGGGAAUAGAUUAGUAUGCAAAAAGCCUUUUUUCACAGUUCAAAAUUUAUAAGAAAAUAACUUCAUUAUAAUAAGAAAAGGACUUCAUUUAUUAAUAAGCUUGUAUAAUCUGCAAUGAAUUUCUAGAAAUUUCUCUCAAAGGUUUCAAAUUUGAUCAAAAUCUAAAUGUUGUCAAAUAUUAAGAUUUAGUAAGAGAUAAAGAAAUAUAUAACAUUUUACAUACAAACACAUGUAUUUUUAUUUAUGCAUAAAAGAAAAAAUUUAAUAAGAGAAAGAUUGUUAUUUAUGUACAUAUUCUCAAGUUUUACCUCACUUGGUAAAUUUUUUCUGAAAACUUAGAAAGUUUUCAUAAUUUGUUUAUUUUAGUUAAAAUUAAAGUUAUUUGAUGACUAAUUAAACAUGUUAGAAUUAUUUAAAAGAAAUAUAAGUUUAAGAAUUUAAUAUUUAGCUGUCAAUAUAUUUGAAUUAGAAAGUGUAGUCACCAAGAAAUGUCUUACAGGUGCCAAACUUUAGAUUUCAGAUAAAAUAUAAAUAAAAUUUUAAUUUUUCGUUGUUAUUAUUAUUUAUGUAUGUAUGUUUUAAUAAACAUUAUUGGUUGGGCAAAAUUUAUUUAAAAUAAAAAGUUUCUUAUUUUUUUCCAUUUUGUAAAAAAAAAAAGAAAAGAAAAGAAAAGAAAAGAAAAAAAAAAAAAAAGAAAGAAAGAAAGAAAGAAAAGAACAAAAAAUUGAAACCACUGAUUAACAGGAUUUCUGCAAUUGGUUCAAUUUUAUUUUCAUAUUAAAAUUUCUGUCAUCUGUUAAUUUUGUAACAGGAGGAACAUAAAAACCUUCUUGAUUAUA
rnacentral:lncRNA from 1 species